AUUGAACGCUGGCGGCAGGCCUAACACAUGCAAGUCGAACGAGUGGCGGACGGGUGAGUAAUGUCUGGGAAACUGCCCGAUGGAGGGGGAUAACUACUGGAAACGGUAGCUAAUACCGCAUACCAUCGGAUGAGCCCAGUUGGGAUUAGGUAGUGGGUGGGGUAACGGCUCACCAAGGCGACGAUCCGUAGCUGGUCUGAGAGGAUGACCAGCCACACUGGGACUGAGACACGGCCCAGACUCCUACGGUAGGCAGCAGUGGGGAAUUUUGGGCAAUGGGGGCAACCCUGAUGCAGCCAUCCCGCGUGUAUGAUGAAGGCCUUCGGGUUGUAAAGCACUUUUGGCAGGAAGGCGUUACCUGCAGAAUAAGCACCGGCUAACUCCGUGCCAGCAGCCGCGGUAAUUC
rnacentral:rRNA from 1 species